GUGCCGGUAGUGCAAUGGUUAGCACGCGCCCCAGAAAAGGAUGAAAUGUGCGUUCGAAUCCCUCCCGACGUU